UGAGGUUUAUGAUUCUUUGACCUCGUAUGAUAAGAUGAAACAUCUUGUGGUUAAACCCGAUUCUCAGGGAGAGGGUCUCAUUGUUUGUAGAAGAUAAGAUCGGAAUGCUGAUGAUGAUCGUAGAAGGACAUAGAAACAGAAUCCUCGCGAUAAAUCUAAAGGUAGAUCGAAGUCUUCAAAUAGAGGUAAAACUUGUAACUUCUGCAAGAAGAUAGGACACAUUAAAUUUGAGUGCUAUAAGCUACAGAAC
rnacentral:lncRNA from 1 species